rnacentral:snoRNA from 1 species
UUGCAUGAUGAACAAGAGCUAUAAAGCUCGAUAUUAUCCCAGCUCGUUGAACGGCUCAAAUACAAACUCACGUAGAGACCGUCUUGAGAUGAACUCCAACUCUGACAC